UACGGGGGGAGCAAGCGUUGUUCGGAUUUACUGGGCAUAAAGCGCGCGUAGGCGGCUUGGCAAGUCGGAGGUGAAAGCCUGCAGCUCAACUGCGGUGUGCCUCCGAAACUGCCGAGCUUGAGUGCGGGAGGGGUGAUUGGAACUCCAGGUGUAGCGGUGAAAUGCGUAGAUAUCUGGAGGAACACCAGAGGCGAAGGCGAAUCACUGGACCGCAACUGAUGCUGAGGCGCGAAAGCUAGGGGAGCAAACAGG
rnacentral:rRNA from 1 species